CCCACUGUGCCACCCCAACAGCAUUAAGUGUAUUUGCAGGAAGCUGGUGGCCAGGGCUGAGAACUUGCCCCAGACUAUGAGCCACCGCAUUGAGAAAGCAAGCAGACUCGCAGUUUUUCAGUGUCUCAGGGAGCCUGCAGCAGCGAUCCAGUUCCCUCAAUGGGAGACUGAGUGCAUGCCUAACAAGAUUCAGGGAUGAGAGGAAGAAAAGGAAGCCAGGGCUUCUCGAAAGCUGACUUCUAUCUCGUGCUGGGCAGGUUCACUGAAGAAUUACAAAGCUGAAAGUUCACAGUCACCUCUCCAAGGACUUCUUUCCAAUUCCAGGUUUGUACUGAGGUUGUGGGGCAGACACAAGCAGCUUGUGCAAUCCCCGCAGUGCUGGAUGAAAAUCAGCACGCGACAAAUAGGACCUCCGUCCACACAGCCAGGUGUAUGCAAAUGCUUCCUUACCAUUGUUCAAUUCAAGCAGACGUCCAGAUCAGCUGGGAGCACAGGAGGCAAACAAAAGACUGCAGGAGCUGCAGGUGACUUCAGC
rnacentral:lncRNA from 1 species